CGCCACGAUACGACUCUGUUCUGGGGGAAGAAUGGGCCGAAUAAUACGACCUCGAGCCUGUGGAUACAGACUGAUUAGUUACAUUCUGUGAAUGUGAUCUUGGUUGAUCAGUAGUUGUUUCCGUCGCCUGAGGAACAUUGCUUCCCCAUCCUCUAGUGCAGCAGCAGAAGAUAUUCCCCAUGACUGAGUGAUGUAAGACUCAAAAAG
rnacentral:lncRNA from 1 species